CAUGUAGUGCGGGAGGAGCUCCCCCGGGUGUAGAGCGACCUUAACGCACCCCGGGGACUCUACUAGCCCUGGGCUGUCCCCUUCGGUCAAAAGUCAGGACUUGCCCCAGAUCCUCUGCCAGCUGCCAGAGUCCCAGGCCCUGAGAUCUUUAACUCCCCCCACAGCUUCCCGCACAGAUUGCCCAAUAAUGUUAUGGGAAGGGAGGGAGGGGAACCCAAGGGUGUGGGCAAGCACAGCUCUGCUGGGCUCCUCUCGCCUGCCCACAUCUGUAUUCCUUUGAACAGUGUGAGAACAUCUGCAGGCCUUCUGCCUAAGCACCACCGGCCCUGUUUCCAGCCUGUUUCUUCCUCCCAUGGACUCUUAUCUGCGUAGACCCAGUGCUGCUGUAAGUAGGAAGGGACCUAGGAUCUGGUCUGAGAGCAGCAAGGAGCCAGGAGUAACCACUCUAGAUGAUGUUAGGGUCCACAGGUGUCUUCUGGAGGUUUUUUUUUGCUUUUGGGGCCACACUCGAGACCCCAGGCUAGGGGUCAAAUCGGAGCUGCAGCCAGACCCAAGCCGCAUCUGUGACCUACACUACAGCUCACAGCAACUUCAGAUCCUUAACCCACUGAGCGAGGCCAGGGGUCGAACCCGCAUCCUCAUGGAUACUAGUAGGGUUCGUUACUGCUGAGCCACAAUGGGAACUCCCUGGAGUUCUUUCUGGAGCCCUGUGUAGCCCCUGCAAUCUCCUUUCCCCAGGUUUGGCCUUCAGUCAAGGUGGAUCAAGCAGUUGUAGAGUUCCUGGCCUCACACCUUUCCCUUGGGGCCUUAGAAAGUGCAAAAAGUGCAAGUUGUGCCUCCAAGGGAUCAUUUCACCUCCCUCUUGUCCUUGGUGAGUGGUGGGGGCACAGGGACGGGGGUGGCAGGACAGAGCUGGGUCCAAACAGGCAGGGCUCUGCUUGAUCAUCCUUGCCUAGAGAGCCCUCUGUCUUAUUGGUGGUUGAGGACACCGCCGUCUCAGAGGGUCCCUAGCAUGUUUUCCUUUCAGUUUGUUUCCAUUCGUCAAGCCAUUGAGUUUGAGGCACUGCUCGGUGCUAGGGAAACAGAGAUGAGGACAAUAGGGUGACUUGCCUUCCAGGGUCACAGAGUUAAGUGAGCUUUUAUUUAAGACCAACACCACCUGUCUCAGACAUAGCAAAGAGACUGACUGCCAGGAAGGGUAUUUUGGAAUGGUGAGCAAGGGACAUUUAUGGAAAUCCCCGGCCAGGAGACCAGGCCAACUAUUCUCCCUUCUCUGAGGAGAUGGCAGCUUCAGGACAAUGGAAAGAAAACAAGAGGAGGAGUUGGAGACUUGGGGAUCUUCUCCCAGCGUUGCCCUUAAUAUGCACCAGGCAAAUCACUGCUCUGGCACGCAGUAUCCUAAUUCUAAAUCGAGGUGCAAUUAAAUAAUUUCUUUGAUCUCUUUCAUCUUUAAGAUGGAAUCAAUCCAGGAAGGCUUCCUGGAAGAAGUACAAUUUCAAUGUUUGAAAAAUGGGGUAAAAACGUUAAGUUACUGUGCUAGGGAAGGCAUCCCUGCUGUGUAAUAUAAUCUGGGGAAGGGUUGAGAGAGGGAGAGAAUGGAGACAAAGGGUUUUGAAAAGUUAUUGUGAACAAGUAGUGUAGGAAUUAGUAGACCUGGAGGAUGAGUGUGAAAAGGCCUUUGGACCCAGUGCUUAGAAGAUCGUACCUAGGCGUUCCCACCACAGCGCAGUGGAUUAAGAGUCCCACAGCAGGGAGUUCCCUUCGUGGCUCAUCGGUUAAUGAGCCUGACUAGGAUCCAUGAGGAUUCGAGUUCUAUCCCUGGCCUCACUCAGUGGGUUAAGGAUCUGGCGUUGCCAUGAGCUGUGGUGUUGGUCGCAGACGUGGAUCGGAUCCUGUGCUGCUGUGGCUGUGGUGUGGGCUGGCAGCUGCAGCUCUGAUUCAACCCCCAGCCCAGGANNNNNNNNNNNNNNNNNNNNNNNNNNNNNNNNNNNNNNNNNNNNNNNNNNNNNCGUCUUGGUCAUUGCAGAGGUGUGGGUUUGAUCCCUGCCUGGCACAGCAGGUUAAAGGAUCUGGCAUUGCACAGCUGUGUCUCUGGUUCAAUCCCUGGUCCAGGAACUUCCAUAUGCCCCUGUGUGGCCAUAAAAAACAAAUAAGCAAAAAUCACAUCUAAAAGCAUAAAGGUUUGUAGAGAGGGACUUGAAACAGAGACCUGACAGAGGGAAUCCAGAUGUUUUCCCUAAGGCGAGUGUUCCCCCCAUGGCUUUGCAGGAUCCACCCUGACCCCAGAAUUAAAGGCAGCUCACCACCAGCUCCAUUUUUAGGAGAGAGGGUGGUGUGGCAAAACCAAGAUAGUAAUUGUUCAAAGGUUGGAAGUGCUUGCCCUCAGCUGAGGGAACUACACCAAAAAAAGAGGUCCUCCCAGCAGUUGUGGGCAGCCCAGGUGUGGCUGGCAGACACCCUCUUACCAAGGUGGCCCAGGUAACUCCUCCAGAAAGCAUGUCCCUUUGUAACUGCUUCCUCCAUUUUCAUAUUUGUUUUCUGUCUUUUUUAGGGCUGCACCUGUGGCAUAUGGAGGUUCCCAGGCUUGGGGUCUAAUCAGAGCUGCAGCUGCCAGCCUACGCCACAGCCACAGCAAUGCCAGAUCCUUAACCCACUGAGCGAGGCCAGGGAUCGAACCUGUGUCCUCGUGGAUACCAGUCAGGUUCAUUACCGGUGAGCCACAAUGGAAACUCCUGGGUUUCAUACUUGGAACUAACUGGUGGAUUCUGAAUGCAGCGGGGUGCUCAGGAUGAGAAGCGUCACAAGCGUCUUCCCCCAAGUGGACCCCCAUCCUCUCCUCCCACCAGGCAAAGGACAGACGGAUACAAAUUCCUCAAAACAGACAUUUCUUUCAGUGUGGUGGAGGCACCAGGUGGGAAAGGGGGAGAUAGGAAGCCCUGAAAUGAAGGGAACACAGUGAGAAAAGGGAAGGAGAGAAAUAGGAGAAGUGGACCAAGAAAGGGAGCUAGAAAAUAAAGAAAGCAGAAGAAAGAAAUGGAGCCAAAGAACCAGAGGAGCAAGGAAAUAGGAUUCUGAGGCUGAAGAUGCUGCAGGGAGGGCAGGAGGCCCAGAGAGAGGUCUGAGUCUGAAAACUGUGGCGGGGGGUGGGAAUCUAGAAAAGAUAAUGGGGAGUUCCCAUUGUCGCUCAGCGGUAAUGAACCUGACUAGGAUCCAUGAGGAGGCGGGUUCAAUCCUUGGCCUUGCUUGGUGGGUUAAGGAUCUGGCGUUGCCAUGAGCUGUGGUGUAGGUCGCAGACGGGGCUCAGAUCUGGCGUGGCUGCGGCUGGGGCUCCCAUUCAACCCCAGCCUGGGAGCUUCCAUAUGCGAUGGAUGUGGCCCUAAAAAGCAAAAGAAAAGAAAAGAUAAGAAAAGGUCAUCUUGGGAGACAACAGGAAGGAAAGGCCAGAGAAAAGCAAAAUAGCCAGAGAAAGAAGGGGAGAAAGAGUGAGACGAGGACAGAAAGAUGCAGCCAAGAGUGAUACAGAAAAGAGAAAGGAGAACCAGGGGAUGAGGAGUGGAGGCCAGAGCGGGAGAGGACGGGAGAGGGAAAGGGAGCGAAGGAGAUAGAGAGGAGAGGGCAGGCGAAAACAGGCAGAAAUCGGGGAGGGAGCGGCAGCAGAGGCAUGCAUGGCUGGUUUAAUGAGCCACGCAGCUUCUCCCACUCCCCAGGAGAAACGCACUAAUUAUGCCUCCAUCCUCCCGACAGGAGGAGGUCAGGAGGGCUGAAGAAAUGCCCUCGGCUCGGCCAAAUGGCAGGGGAGUGUGGGGUGGGGGCAGGUAGGAGUGCUGAGCCUGCAGGAUGGCAGAUGAGGCCCUUGCCCCAGUUGACCAGGCCUCCCCCAGACUGGGCACACUGCCAGCCCCGGGUGAGGUGGUGGGAGGAGGUGCAUCCAUUGCUCUUGGCCCUGUGGCACUGCUGUCCUCUUGGGGACAUCCUGAGAAAGCUCAAGACCUCAGGAGAAGGGGGGGAAGGAGAGGAGGGAGCUGCAGGCAGGGGUUUCUUCUCCCAGGCCCUCCAUGGGGCAUUUUGCACUGCCCAGUAUUACUGCCUGGUACUGAUGCUUCACCUUGAAGCUCAAAGGCACAGAAGGUCAGCUAGAGGUGGGUGAAACUCUAGCCUCAUGUGGCUCCAACAUCCCCCUUGCUCCGGUCCCGCUGGGUGUCAUAGGAGCUGGGUUUCAUACAUACUAACCCCCGGACUUGCGUAUCUGUGCUCAUGCUAACCAUGCACCCACUAGGGCCAUGGAGGACAGAGGGGAAGGGGGAGACCACCACUGUCCCCUGAGUGGCUUAUAACCUAAUGGGGAUGUGGGAGCAACAGGGGAUGGUAUACUUAGGGAAAUCCAAGGGAGUAAGGCCCUGUAUGGAAAAGUGGACAGGAGUUCCCAUCUUGGCACAGCGGAAACGAAUCCGACUAGGAACCAUGAGGUUGCAGGUUCGAUCCCUGGCCGAGCUCAGUAGGUUAAGGAUCCGACGUUGCCGUGAGCUAUGGUGUAGGUCACAGACGCACCUUGGAUCUGGAGUUGCUGUGGCUCUGGCGUAAGCCAGUGGCUACAGCUCCAAUUGGACCUGGGAACCUCCGAGGGUGCGGCCCU
rnacentral:lncRNA from 1 species